GACGAACGCUGGCGGCGUGCUUAACACAUGCAAGUCGAGCGGUAAGGCCCUUUCGGGGGUACACGAGCGGCGAACGGGUGAGUAACACGUGGGUGACCUGCCUUUAGCUCUGGGAUAAGCCUGGGAAACCGGGUCUAAUACCGGAUAUGACUCCGCGGCGCAUGUUGUGGGGUGGAAAGCCUUGUGCGGCUGGAGAUGGGCCCCGCGGCCUAUCAGCUUGUUGGUGGGGUGANGGCCUACCAAGGCGACGACGGGUAGCCGGCCUGAGAGGGCGACCGGCCACACUGGGACUGAGACACGGCCCAGACUCCUACGGGAGGCAGCAGUGGGGAAUCUUGCGCAAUGGGCGAAAGCCUGACGCAGCGACGCCGCGUGAGGGAUGACGGCCU
rnacentral:rRNA from 1 species